rnacentral:misc_RNA from 1 species
AAUAUCCAAUAAAAAUCACAAUUCUAAGUUUAAUAUUUUAACUACUUAAAAAUUACAACUGUAUAAAAUGACCAUAUAUUAAGUCAACUGAAUCAAUUGCAAUAGUUCUAUUGCCUCAAAUUUCUGCUUCAAAUGAUCAAAGACUCAACAAAAUUCAUCCACUGUUUCUCUUUUACUUUAAACUUCUCUUCUGGCCAGCAUUUCACAAACUUAUCAACUCUCAGUAACUGUUGCUACUUUCUUAGAUAUCAUGGACUCGGCUAUGCUGAUAGCUCUUUGAGAUCCGGUAAUGGUAACCUUCCUGUCAGAAGUGCCGGACAUGAAAUCACCCCUAUCCGAUAUCUUUAUUCUAGCUCCACUUACCUGACUUAUCUCCAUUACACUCCUUCCAUUCCGGCCAAGCACCAAACCGAUAUGCUCAUCAGCAACACCUAUAGUGACAGAAUUGUUCCUAUCUUCAGAAUUAGGCUCCAUCUUGUUCUGAUAUCUGUUAUUUGGAUAUCUCCCUCCAAUUACUCCAUUGGGUGGUCCAUAGUUCAUUCCAAGAUAUGCUGCUGCAUAAGGAAAUGGAGCAUUCAUGUUCUGUACAUAAUGAGCAUCUUCAGCCAACUUAUAUAGAAUCAAUUCAAUAGCCCGCAUCUGCUCCCCUAGAGUUCCAAUCACUAUUACUAUCCUAUCAUGCAGUCCUGGAAAAUUCUCAUCCUGAGGUAAUAUUUUUAUGCCAGCCCGAGAGUCUUCAAUAAAUGACUUUAUCACAGAUCCUCCCUUCCCGAUAAUUCCACCACAAGAGCUGUUGGGCACAACUAGUCUAACUUUUGAUCGCGGGCCAACAUCACCACCAUCUUCAACAUAACUCUCAUCCAGUAGCUUAUUAAGAACAAGAUCAACUGCCUUGAGUACAUCAUCAAUCGGCCCAGAUACCAUUACAAUCCUAUCCAUGGUACCAGGGAAAAAUUCGUUGUUGCGUGACAACUGAAUUCUUGCCCCAGAACGAGCCUGAAAGUCACUGAUUGUCGAGCCACCCUUUCCAAUAAUUGAACCAGCCUCAGCAUUCGAUAAAAGGAACUUGAUAGAUAUUUUGUUUUCAUCGUGAUCUGUGGAAGGAGGAGGAGAUUGAGAUUUGCGAGGCGAAGAAGAGUGUUCCUGUACACCUUCAGUCGAUGAAUUGUACUCAGAUUGAGCUGCUCCUUCCAUAGCCAUAAAUUAGAGAGAAUUAAUAGACGAGAAAUGGAGUCAAAACAUUAGCAAAUUUGUGAAGAAGAAGAAGAAGAAGACUGUGAUUUAUGUAGAGAAAAUAUCUACUGUGUGAAACAAAAAGAGGAGAUUUAAGAGAAAAUGGAGAGAGAGUG